AGGUGUAGCGGUGAAAUGCGUAGAGAUCUGGAGGAAUACCGAUGGCGAAGGCAGCCUUCUGGCAUCAUACUGACACUGAGGCUCGAAAGCGUGGGUAGCAAACAGGAUUAGAUACCCUGGUAGUCCACGCCGUAAACGAUGUCUACUAGUCGUUGGGUCCCUUGAGGACUUAGUGACGCAGCUAACGCAAUAAGUAGACCGCCUGGGGAGUACGGCCGCAAGGUUAAAACUCAAAUGAAUUGACGGGGGCCCGCACAAGCGGUGGAGCAUGUGGUUUAAUUCGAUGCAACGCGAAGAACCUUACCUGGUCUUGACAUAUCUAGAAUCCUGCAGAGAUGCGGGAGUGCCUUCGGGAAUUAGAAUACAGGUGCUGCAUGGCUGUCGUCAGCUCGUGUCGUGAGAUGUUGGGUUAAGUCCCGCAACGAGCGCAACCCUUGUCCUUAGUUACCAGCGGGUUAAGCCGGGAACUCUAAGGAUACUGCCAGUGACAAACUGGAGGAAGGCGGGGACGACGUCAAGUCAUCAUGGCCCUUACGACCAGGGCUACACACGUGCUACAAUGGUAGGUACAGAGGGCAGCUACACAGCGAUGUGAUGCGAAUCUCAAAAAGCCUAUCGUAGUCCAGAUUGGAGUCUGCAACUCGACUCCAUGAAGUAGGAAUCGCUAGUAAUCGCGGAUCAGAAUGCCGCGGUGAAUACGUUCCCGGGCCUUGUACACACCGCCCGUCACACCAUGGGAGUUGAUUGCACCAGAAGUGGUUAGCCUAACCGUAAG
rnacentral:rRNA from 1 species